rnacentral:rRNA from 1 species
GACGAACGCUGGCGGCGCGCUUAACACAUGCAAGUCGAACGGAAAGGCCUGCUUUCCCUUGUGGAUUGCGGGUACUCGAGUGGCGAACGGGUGAGUAACACGUGAGUGAUCUGCCCCCAACUUGGGUAUAAGCCUGGGAAACUGGGUCUAAUUCCCGAUAGGACUGCAGGGUGGUGCCUGUGGUGGAAAACGAUUUUCUAGUGGUUGGGGAUGAGCUCGCGGCCUAUCAGCUUGUUGGUGGGGUAAUGGCCUACCAAGGCGGCGACGGGUAGCCGGCCUGAGAGGGUGGACGGCCACAUUGGGACUGAGAUACAGCCCAGACUCCUACGGGAGGCAGCAGUGGGGAAUAUUGCACAAUGGGCGGAAGCCUGAUGCAGCGACGCCGCGUGGGGGAUGACGGCCUUCGGGUUGUAAACUCCUUUCGACCGCGAGGAAGCCACCUGGUUGGAAGGGUGGUGACGGUAGUGGGAGAAGAAGCACCGGCUAACUACGUG